rnacentral:rRNA from 1 species
GGUUAAGCGACUAAGCGUACACGGUGGAUGCCCUGGCAGUCAGAGGCGAUGAAGGGCAUGCUAAUCUGCGAUAAGCGCCGGUAAGGUGAUAUGAACCGUUAUAACCGGCGAUACCCGAAUGGGGAAACCCAGUGUGAUUCGUCACACUAUCAUUAACUGAAUCCAUAGGUUAAUGAGGCGAACCGGGGGAACUGAAACAUCUAAGUACCCCGAGGAAAAGAAAUCAACCGAGAUUCCCCCAGUAGCGGCGAGCGAACGGGGAGGAGCCCAGAGCCUGAAUCAGCAUGUGUGUUAGUGGAAGCGUCUGGAAAGGCGCGCGAUACAGGGUGACAGCCCCGUACACAAAAGCGCAUGUGCUGUGAGCUCGAUGAGUAGGGCGGGACACGUGGUAUCCUGUCUGAAUAUGGGGGGACCAUCCUCCAAGGCUAAAUACUCCUGACUGACCGAUAGUGAACCAGUACCGUGAGGGAAAGGCGAAAAGAACCCCGGCGAGGGGAGUGAAAAAGAACCUGAAACCGUGUACGUACAAGCAGUGGGAGCACCCUUUGGGGUGUGACUGCGUACCUUUUGUAUAAUGGGUCAGCGACUUAUAUUCUGUAGCAAGGUUAACCGUAUAGGGGAGCCGUAGGGAAACCGAGUCUUAACCGGGCGUUAAGUUGCAGGGUAUAGACCCGAAACCCGGUGAUCUAGCCAUGGGCAGGUUGAAGGUUGGGUAACACUAACUGGAGGACCGAACCGACUAAUGUUGAAAAAUUAGCGGAUGACCUGUGGCUGGGGGUGAAAGGCCAAUCAAACCGGGAGAUAGCUGGUUCUCCCCGAAAGCUAUUUAGGUAGCGCCUCGUGAAUUCAUCUCCGGGGGUAGAGCACUGUUUCGGCUAGGGGGCCAUCCCGGCUUACCAACCCGAUGCAAACUGCGAAUACCGGAGAAUGUUAUCACGGGAGACACACGGCGGGUGCUAACGUCCGUCGUGAAGAGGGAAACAACCCAGACCGCCAGCUAAGGUCCCAAAGUCAUGGUUAAGUGGGAAACGAUGUGGGAAGGCCCAGACAGCCAGGAUGUUGGCUUAGAAGCAGCCAUCAUUUAAAGAAAGCGUAAUAGCUCACUGGUCGAGUCGGCCUGCGCGGAAGAUGUAACGGGGCUAAACCAUGCACCGAAGCUGCGGCAGCGACACUGUGUGUUGUUGGGUAGGGGAGCGUUCUGUAAGCCUGUGAAGGUGUGUCGUGAGGCAUGCUGGAGGUAUCAGAAGUGCGAAUGCUGACAUAAGUAACGAUAAAGCGGGUGAAAAGCCCGCUCGCCGGAAGACCAAGGGUUCCUGUCCAACGUUAAUCGGGGCAGGGUGAGUCGACCCCUAAGGCGAGGCCGAAAGGCGUAGUCGAUGGGAAACAGGUUAAUAUUCCUGUACUUGGUGUUACUGCGAAGGGGGGACGGAGAAGGCUAUGUUGGCCGGGCGACGGUUGUCCCGGUUUAAGCGUGUAGGUGUGUGUUCCAGGUAAAUCCGGUUCACUUUAACACUGAGGCGUGAUGACGAGGCACUACGGUGCUGAAGCAACAAAUGCCCUGCUUCCAGGAAAAGCCUCUAAGCAUCAGGUAACAUCAAAUCGUACCCCAAACCGACACAGGUGGUCAGGUAGAGAAUACCAAGGCGCUUGAGAGAACUCGGGUGAAGGAACUAGGCAAAAUGGUGCCGUAACUUCGGGAGAAGGCACGCUGACACGUAGGUGAAGUGAUUUACUCAUGGAGCUGAAGUCAGUCGAAGAUACCAGCUGGCUGCAACUGUUUAUUAAAAACACAGCACUGUGCAAACACGAAAGUGGACGUAUACGGUGUGACGCCUGCCCGGUGCCGGAAGGUUAAUUGAUGGGGUCAGCGCAAGCGAAGCUCCUGAUCGAAGCCCCGGUAAACGGCGGCCGUAACUAUAACGGUCCUAAGGUAGCGAAAUUCCUUGUCGGGUAAGUUCCGACCUGCACGAAUGGCGUAAUGAUGGCCAGGCUGUCUCCACCCGAGACUCAGUGAAAUUGAACUCGCUGUGAAGAUGCAGUGUACCCGCGGCAAGACGGAAAGACCCCGUGAACCUUUACUAUAGCUUGACACUGAACAUUGAGCCUUGAUGUGUAGGAUAGGUGGGAGGCUUUGAAGCGUGGACGCCAGUCUGCGUGGAGCCGACCUUGAAAUACCACCCUUUAAUGUUUGAUGUUCUAACGUGGACCCGUAAUCCGGGUUGCGGACAGUGUCUGGUGGGUAGUUUGACUGGGGCGGUCUCCUCCUAAAGAGUAACGGAGGAGCACGAAGGUUGGCUAAUCCUGGUCGGACAUCAGGAGGUUAGUGCAAUGGCAUAAGCCAGCUUGACUGCGAGCGUGACGGCGCGAGCAGGUGCGAAAGCAGGUCAUAGUGAUCCGGUGGUUCUGAAUGGAAGGGCCAUCGCUCAACGGAUAAAAGGUACUCCGGGGAUAACAGGCUGAUACCGCCCAAGAGUUCAUAUCGACGGCGGUGUUUGGCACCUCGAUGUCGGCUCAUCACAUCCUGGGGCUGAAGUAGGUCCCAAGGGUAUGGCUGUUCGCCAUUUAAAGUGGUACGCGAGCUGGGUUUAGAACGUCGUGAGACAGUUCGGUCCCUAUCUGCCGUGGGCGCUGGAGAACUGAGGGGGGCUGCUCCUAGUACGAGAGGACCGGAGUGGACGCAUCACUGGUGUUCGGGUUGUCAUGCCAAUGGCACUGCCCGGUAGCUAAAUGCGGAAGAGAUAAGUGCUGAAAGCAUCUAAGCACGAAACUUGCCCCGAGAUGAGUUCUCCCUGAGACUUAGAGUCUCCUGAAGGAACGUUGAAGACGACGACGUUGAUAGGCCGGGUGUGUAAGCGCAGCGAUGCGUUGAGCUAACCGGUACUAAUGAACCGUGAGGCUUAACCUU